rnacentral:rRNA from 1 species
CGUAGGGGGCGAGCGUUGUCCGGAUUCAUUGGGCGUAAAGCGCGCGCAGGCGGCUAGAAGAGCCCGGCGUGAAAGCCCCCGGCUCAACCGGGGGAGGUCGUCGGGGACCUUUUGGCUGGAGGCCGGCAGGGGCGAGCGGAAUUCCCGGUGUAGUGGUGGAAUGCGUAGAGAUCGGGAGGAACACCAGUGGCGAAGGCGGCUCGCUGGGCCGGUCCUGACGCUCAGGCGCGAAAGCGUGGGGAGCGAUCCGGAUUAGAUACCCGGGUAGUCCACGCCGUAAACGAUGGGCACUAGGUGUCGGGGGUAUCGACCCCCCCGGUGCCGCAGCCAACGCAGUAAGUGCCCCGCCUGGGGACUACGGCCGCAAGGCUA